GAUGAAGAACGUAGCGAAAUGCGAUACGUAAUGUGAAUUGCAGAAUUCAGUGAAUCAUCGAAUCUUUGAACGCAUCUUGCGCUCCUUGGUAUUCCAUGGAGCAUGCCUGUUUGAGUGUCAUGAAACCAUCAAACUGCAAAUUUAUUUUUUGUAUGUUUGGAAUUUGGAUGCUUGCUGGUAUGACCCAGCUCAUCCGAAAUUUAUUAGCUGGUUUGAAUAUCAUGGAUCUUCCACUUGGCGUGAUAAGUAUCACCCGCUGAGGACUUGUCCAGAUAAUAUUGACCGCUUCCAAAAAAUAAAAAUAAUAAUAUUAUUAUUUUUUUCUGAAUCAUUUGACCUCAAAUCAGGUAGGACUACCCGCUGAACUUAAGCAUAUCAAUAAGCGGAGGA
rnacentral:misc_RNA from 1 species